UGAGGAAUAUUGGUCAAUGGGCGUAAGCCUGAACCAGCCAAGUAGCGUGAGGGAAGACUGCCCUAUGGGUUGUAAACCUCUUUUGUGCGGGGAUAAAGUGUGGGACGUGUCCCAUAUUGCAGGUACCGCACGAAUAAGGACCGGCUAAUUCCGUGCCAGCAGCCGCGGUAAUACGGAAGGUCCGGGCGUUAUCCGGAUUUAUUGGGUUUAAAGGGAGCGCAGGCCGUCCUUUAAGCGUGCUGUGAAAUGCCGCGGCUCAACCGUGGCACUGCAGCGCGAACUGGAGGACUUGAGUACGCACGAGGUAGGCGGAAUUCGUGGUGUAGCGGUGAAAUGCUUAGAUAUCACGAAGAACUCCGAUUGCGAAGGCAGCUUACCGGAGCGCAACUGACGCUGAGGCUCGAAAGCGCGGGUAUCGAACAGGAUUAGAUACCCUGGUAGUCCGCGCGGUAAACGAUGGAUGCCCGCCGUUGGGAUUUAGAUUUCAGCGGCCAAGCGAAAGCGUUAAGCAUCCCACCUGGGGAGUACGCCGGCAACGGUGAAACUCAAAGGAAUUGACGGGGGCCCGCACAAGCGGAGGAACAUGUGGUUUAAUUCGAUGAUACGCGAGGAACCUUACCCGGGCUUGAAUUGCAGGAGAACGAUCCAGAGAUGGUGAGGCCCUUCGGGGCUCCUGUGAAGGUGCUGCAUGGUUGUCGUCAGCUCGUGCCGUGAGGUGUCGGCUCAAGUGCCAUAACGAGCGCAACCCCUGUCCAUAGUUGCCAUCAGGUCGUGCUGGGCACUCUGUGGAGACUGCCGCCGUAAGGUGUGAGGAAGGUGGGGAUGACGUCAAAUCAGCACGGCCCUUACGUCCGGGGCUACACACGUGUUACAAUGGGGCAUACAGCGAGUUGGAUGUGCGCAAGUACGUCCGAAUCAAUAAAGUGCCUCUCAGUUCGGACUGGGGUCUGCAACCCGACCCCACGAAGCUGGAUUCGCUAGUAAUCGCGCAUCAGCCAUGGCGCGGUGAAUACGUUCCC
rnacentral:rRNA from 1 species